GAGUUUGAUCGUGGCUCAGGAUGAGCGCUGGCGGCGUGCCUAAUACAUGCAAGUCGAGCGAACGGACGAGAAGCUUGCUUCUCUGAUGUUAGCGGCGGACGGGUGAGUAACACGUGGAUAACCUACCUAUAAGACUGGGAUAACUUCGGGAAACCGGAGCUAAUACCGGAUAAUAUUUUGAACCGCAUGGUUCAAAAGUAAAAGACGGUCUUGCUGUCACUUAUAGAUGGAUCCGCGCUGCAUUAGCUAGUUGGUAAGGUAACGGCUUACCAAGGCAACGAUGCAUAGCCGACCUGAGAGGGUGAUCGGCCACACUGGAACUGAGACACGGUCCAGACUCCUACGGGAGGCAGCAGUAGGGAAUCUUCCGCAAUGGGCGAAAGCCUGACGGAGCAACGCCGCGUGAGUGAUGAAGGUCUUCGGAUCGUAAAACUCUGUUAUUAGGGAAGACAUAUGUGUAAGUAACUGUGCACAUCUUGACGGUACCUAAUCAGAAAGCCACGGCUAACUACGUCG
rnacentral:rRNA from 1 species